rnacentral:rRNA from 1 species
GUGAGUAAUGUAUCUGGAACGUGCCCAGUAGCGGGGGAUAACUACGCGAAAGCGUAGCUAAUACCGCAUACGCCCUACGGGGGAAAGCAGGGGAUCGCAAGACCUUGCACUAUUGGAGCGGCCGAUAUCGGAUUAGCUAGUUGGUGGGGUAACGGCUCACCAAGGCGACGAUCCGUAGCUGGUUUGAGAGGACGACCAGCCACACUGGGACUGAGACACGGCCCAGACUCCUACGGGAGGCAGCAGUGGGGAAUUUUGGACAAUGGGGGAAACCCUGAUCCAGCCAUCCCGCGUGUGCGAUGAAGGCCUUCGGGUUGUAAAGCACUUUUGGCAGGAAAGAAACGUCGCGGGUUAAUACCCCGCGGAACUGACGGUACCUGCAGAAUAAGCACCGGCUAACUACGUGCCAGCAGCCGCGGUAAUACGUAGGGUGCAAGCGUUAAUCGGAAUUACUGGGCGUAAAGCGUGCGCAGGCGGUUCGGAAAGAAAGAUGUGAAAUCCCAGAGCUUAACUUUGGAACUGCAUUUUUAACUACCGGGCUAGAGUGUGUCAGAGGGAGGUGGAAUUCCGCGUGUAGCAGUGAAAUGCGUAGAUAUGCGGAGGAACACCGAUGGCGAAGGCAGCCUCCUGGGAUAACACUGACGCUCAUGCACGAGAGCGUGAGGAGCAAACAGGAUUAGAUACCCUGGUAGUCCACGCCCUAAACGAUGUCAACUAGCUGUUGGGG